UAUAUUUUUAAACUUCAUUCCUGGAAGCACUGCAGAUGUCAGAUCAGUUUACAAAGCCAAAGAGUACCUCUGGGAAUGGCAUGGCAGCAACUGAAAUAGUAUUUGGCCAAAUUAAGAGUGUAUGCCAAGGAUGCCAAAAAUCACAGUAACCUGGCAGUUAUCCAUGGAUAAGCAGAAACAAGGACUUAAAUAUUCCUUCUGUCAUAUCUUUACCAUUGAAUGAAGUACGAUAGAGGGUUGGACACUGAUCUAGUUGUGUGACUACAAAGAUCUACAAUAAAGUAUUUUAUAGGUAAGAGGACUGUCAUAGAGAGUUUAAGGAGCCUCUACAAUGCCAUAGAACAAGGCCCAUGAAUGUAAUCACUCAGCAACCCCAUGCAUACUGAUGCCAG